GCGGGGGUCGCCAAGCCUGGUCAAAUUCGCUCAGCUUCGGCUGAGCAAAGCCAGCGGCGCAGGACUGAGGCUCCUGUCCCGAAGGGGUUCGUGGGUUCAAAUCCCACCCCCCGCA
rnacentral:tRNA from 1 species